ensembl:snRNA U5 U5 spliceosomal RNA
UAUCUCUGGCUUCUCUUCAGAUCGUAUAAAUCUUUCGCCUUUUACUAAAGAUUUCUGUGGAGAGGAACAAGCACGAGUGUAGUGGAAUUUUUUGAGGCUCUGCUUCUUAAAAUAU